rnacentral:misc_RNA from 1 species
AAGUCGUAACAAGGUUUCCGUAGGUGAACCUGCGGAAGGAUCAUUAACACGUAUCCAACGUUAAACCCCCCUGUGAACCUUCAGUGUGCUCCCUCAUUCUGUUGGACGUGGCAAUCCCUGGUAAAUCAUCGCCGAACAGUUUUGAUUCAGGGACUUCUGCAAAGAGUGUUGGUUGUAGCGCGAGGCAAGUGGCCUGGCAUUCCUCUGAUUGUUAGUGUCUGAAAGUGUCACUGGCUCUGUAAGAAUGGCGCAGUCACGAUCGCUAGAGGCCGACACGGCCGGCGACCGGGUCACCGGGCUCACGCCCCCCUAUCACCGCUUUGCAUGAAAACGGGCCUGCGCUUAAUUGUGCGGGCAUAAACCGAACAACUGUUAACAAUGGAUAUCUUGGUUCUC